CACAUACUAAAAAGAAGGAAAACAAAAAUUCAAUCCUGAUCCGUUUCGAUUGAGGUGGUAAAUGAGAAAAAAAAUAUAUAGAAAAAUAUAAUUCGUCCCGAAUUCGCACCGAUCCACCAAGUAAAUGAAGCAGGAGGCAGGAGAUCAUUUUUUUUCUUCAAUUCGUCUCGAUCUGUCAAAAUUCUUUCAAAAAUCAGCUUUCGUCACGAUCCACCCCAAAUAGGACGGUAAGUGAGAGCCAAAAGUAAAAUAAAAAAAAUUCGCUCCGAAUCCGUCCCAUCCCGGCAAUAAAUAGA
rnacentral:lncRNA from 1 species